AAUGUAAACAUAAACAAGCAAUCAAAAUUUUAAACAAACCACAGGUUAACAUCAGGAAAGCAAUAAUUGAGAUCUCACAAGUUUGAUGUAUAAAUUUGAAAUUGUGUUUAAUGUAAAACAAAAAAAUAUUACCCGGAAUGCGUGUGGAACCGAGAACAAUGGGAGGAAAAUCUUCUUCGAUGAAAAAUGUAAAACAGGUUUUAUGGUAACCGCGUCCGAAGUGCAAACGAUAAUGCACUUCAGCCAACAUUUUAGUAAGGAUCAGCAAUGUAUUGUGGUUUUCAACGAAGGCCCGUCUUUGUGAAAGUUUGUCAAUAUCGUGUAUAGAAUUUUAGAAAACUUGCC